rnacentral:rRNA from 1 species
AUGGCGGACGUGGCCCCGCCCGACGCCGACGUGCCACGCGACCUGCUGGCGCAGUUCUUCCCGCUCACCGACGCCCUCAACUACGACGGCGGCGAGCAGCCGCUGUUCGCCGUCCAGACCACCGACCUCGCGGACGGCGUCUUCAUCGGCUUCGCCUACAACCACGCGCUCUCCGACGGUGCGGCGUUCUGGUACUUUGUCAACCACUGGGCGUCCCUCGCGCGCGCCAAGCUCGGCCUUGCCCCGGCGCCCUCGACGCCCAAGCCCUCGUUCGAGCGCUGGUCGCCCGACGGCGGCGUGGCAGGGCCGGCCGUGCUGCCGUGCGCCGACGUGUCGGAGCUCGUUGAGCGCGCCUCGCCGCCGCGGCUGCGCGAGCGAAUGCUGCACUUCUCCGCGGACUCGCUGGCGGCGCUCAAGGAGCGCGCGCGGGACGAGCUCCUGGCCGCCGGGGACGCGGCGGGCGCCGCCGCGCUGACGCGGUUCCAGGCGCUGUCCUCGCUCCUCUGGCGCUGCAUCACCCGCGCGCGGCGGCUGGCGCCGGACAAGGAGACCAUGUGCCGCGCGGCCAUCAAUAACCGCGCGCGGCUCCGGCCGCAGCUCCCGCAGGAGUACUUCGGCAACACAAUCUACGCGAUCGGGACCGAGCCGGCGCGCGCAGGUGACCUCCAGGCGCGCGGGCACGGCUGGGCGGCGGCGGCCGUUGGGCGGGCCGUUGCGGCGCACACGGACGCGGCCAUCAGGGCGCGCGUGGCGGAGUGGACGACCAAGCCCAUGGUCUACACGCAUCGCUUCUUCGACUCGACGGGGACGAUGAUUGGGAGCUCGCCGCGGUUCGACAUGUACGGCUGCGACUUCGGGUGGGGGAGGCCGGUGGCGGCGCGCAGCGGCAGGGCCAACAAGUUUGACGGCAAGACGUCGUUGUACCCCGGCCGGGAGGGUGGUGGCAGCAUCGACGCGGAGCUCACCCUUCUGCCGGAGAACAUGGUGGCGCUCGAGCAGGACGACGAGUUUUGGGCCGCCGUCACCCUGGACGCGCCGGUGCCGAAGCCGCAGAAGAAGGAUUGA